GGUCCACAACUCUUGGUAGAUGAUGCUCGGUAAAUGCACUCAGUUGGCGACACUUGGUAGACGACACUGGGUCCACGACUCUUGGUAGACGAGACUCUGUUAAUGCACUCAGUUAAGGCAACACUUGGUAGACAACAGUCAUAACACUUGGUAGAUGAUGCUUGGUG